rnacentral:rRNA from 1 species
AGAGUUUGAUCAUGGCUCAGGAUAAACGCUGGCGGCGUGCCUUUACGCAUGCAAGUCGAACGAGUACUUCGGUACUAGUGGCGGACGGGUGAGUAACACGUAUGUGAUCUGUCCCGAACUGGGGGAUAACCGCCCGAAAGGGUGGCUAAUACCGCAUGUGGUCUUUGGGUUGCGGCCCAGAGAGUAAAGCUCCGGCGGUUCGGGGGGAGCGUGCGGCCGAUUAGCUAGUUGGUGGGGUAAAAGCCUACCAAGGCGACGAUCGGUAGCUGGUCUGAGAGGACGAUCAGCCACACGGGGACUGAGACACGGCCCCGACUCCUACGGGAGGCAGCAGCGAGGAAUCUUGGUCAAUGGGCGCAAGCCUGAACCAGCGACGCCGCGUGGAGGAUGAAGGCCCUCGGGUUGUAAACUCCUUUUGGGUGGGAAGAAGCUCUGACGGUACCACCCGAAUAAGCCCCGGCUAACUACGUGCCAGCAGCCGCGGUAAUACGUAGGGGGCGAGCGUUGUCCGGAUUUAUUGGGCGUAAAGCGCGCGCAGGCGGUUCGUUAAGUCCGUUGUGAAAGCUCCCGGCUCAACUGGGAGAGGUCUUCGGAUACUGGCGAACUCGAGGGAGGCAGAGGAAGGUGGAAUUCCGGGUGUAGUGGUGAAAUGCGUAGAGAUCCGGAGGAACACCAGUGGCGAAGGCGGCCUUCUGGGCCUUUCCUGACGCUGAGGCGCGAAAGCGUGGGGAGCGAACCGGAUUAGAUACCCGGGUAGUCCACGCCGUAAACGAUGCUCACUAGAUGUGGGGGGUAUCGACCCCCUCCGCGUCGAAGCUAACGCAUUAAGUGAGCCGCCUGGGGAGUACGGCCGCAAGGCUAAAACUCAAAGGAAUUGACGG